GCGCGCAUGCGCCCAUGCGCGGCCUUGGCGGCUACUGUUACUACCUCUGGGCGGCGGUUGGGCCGGAACGGCUGGAGUUCGCGGGUGCCCAGCCGGGCGCUCCCUCAGCCCAGUUCGCCACGUCAGCGAGCGGCCAGAGCCGCAGAUGAUGACUGAGUCUCCGAGGCCUCUCGGUCUUUUUCUAUUUUAACAGGCGCGCGUGCAGAGCGUGUGGACGUUCACAACAGCUUCAGAAGAGAAAAGAAAAUCAGUGAUACAGCAAACAUGGAAUUCUAUUGCACAAAGGAAAUAAAGGGCAGUAGCCAGAAGUUGGAGGGGAGGGAACCACCCGGAUCCUCUAUCAGGAAAACUCCAGCCACAAUUGGUUUGCACUUUGCUUCUGAAAUCCUGAAACAUUUCAAUUUGGUAAAAAUAAAGAGGGUACAAUAUAUUCUGUGCUUUGAAAGGUUUGAGAGCACCACUUACUAGGAGAAACACACACAUGCAAAUGAAGAAUACACCCUGGCUAGAAUAAAAGAUAAAAUUUCAGACUUGUGGAUUUUUACAAUAAAAAUUUGAUACUGUUUUGUGCCAAAAUACAAAUCCCUAAUUAUUCUUUCUUGUUCAUUAUAGAAAGCAGUCUGAGCUACUGAGAAGACUGGGCUGAGAUGAGGAGAUCUGAGUUUUAGUUCUAGCUCUAUCACUAUGAAUAGCUUUUUGGGUCUCAGCUUUCUCUUCUGUGAAAUAGAGAGGAUAGUUGCUUUACCAACUUCAGAAAUACACAGAUAAAUAGAAAAUUC